AUUUAUUUUAAUUAUAAGGAUAAAAUAGGAAGAGGGGGAAGUGGAUUCCCACUGCCACCUCUCCCCAUGGGAGUGGGAAUCCCACUCCCCACUCCAAAAUUAGGUGGGACCUACGGAUUUCCACUCCCACUCCCCCCUUUUUUAAGGUAAGUAAACACUGGAGUGGGAGAAAUCCACACUCCACACUCCCACUCCAAAAAGUAAACACUACCUUAAAGAAUUAAAAGAUCCAAUAUGCAUAUUGAUGAGUUGGAUUAUUGGCAUCCUUGGGAAAUUUACGAAAAUAACUCUAAAUUUUUUUAAUUUUAACCCCUCAAAGUUAUUUCUAUCACCAUUAGCUAAAACAAAAGUUUCGGACCAAAGUGACCCUCUCACAUUUCUCCCCCAAUUCAAUCUCUCUCACGCAAAUCUCUCCAACAACCAAAAACAUCCAUUGUUGGCGGUGGCUCCACCCAUCGUCGGUGUCUGAUCCACUUUCAACGGCGAAGAAAAUCACCAAGAUCCAUUGUUCAACUUCAAUAAAACCUAGGUUAGCUAUUUUAUUCAUAUUUUAUUAAUUAAUAAUGAAAUUGGAGAAUAAUAGUGGUAGUAGCUUGAGAAUAAUGGUGGCGGUGGUCCUUGUAGUGGUAGUUGUUGUUUUGAGAGCGUGUUGUUUUAAAUGUGUGUGUGUGUGAUGGAUAGUGUGAUGAGCAGCAGCCAUCGCAAAUUUUGGUGCAUUCCCGAGUCACCCAUUUUUUUGCGCGAUAGCAGCACCCAUCGCAACAAAAUUGUGCGAUGAGCGCCCAUCGCAUGAAAUUGGCGUGAUGACAGCGCCCAUCGCACGAACUCACGUGAUGGGUGCUGCCCAUCACACUAAUUCGUGCGAUGGGUUUGGAGCCCAUGUGACAAUUUUGUGCAACGGCCUCCGGUUUGAAUUUUUGUGUGACAGGAACCCAUUGCACCAAAUUUUGUACGAUGGGUUCCCGUUACACAAAAAUGGUAAUUUUCAGGGACCUCCCCUGAGAUUUGGUGUAUUAACACUUAGAUAGAAUGUAUUGAUAUAAUUGCAGAUACCUCUCAUGCCGUUAGUUAUAUGUUGAGUUGACCGUUAGUGGACUAUUAAAAUUACUAAAAUACCCUCCCUUCCAAAAUAAUAAAUUAUCAAAUAAAUCUUUGUUGUUUCGUGAAGUAGGAUGUUAUUAGAAGCUACUUUUGAUGUUUUGAUUUAACUAAAAUUGCUCUUUUAAAAAAUUAUUUCAACUGUUUUUUAUAUUAUAUUUAUUCGUAAUCUACUAAUACUUUCAAUCGAAGACUUUCAUACCCUGUUUUGAUUCUAUUAUUAUGACAUAAAUCAAAUGUUUAGGCCAUAAUGAGCAUAUUCAAAGUUAAAAAAUAAAAUUUACUGAAAGGCGAGGACAAGCAAUUGAAGUUAAAUUGGACAAAUGACAUUGUCACUAGUUAGUAAAGACAUGAUUUUGCAUUAAUAAAUUUGAGGAAUUAGCAUUGUUGAAAGAUUAUAAUAAAAUCAUUACAUCGUUACGAACAUACAAAUCAACUUCACUCAGACAUCGAUAUUUUUUUUCUUUUUCCCCCUCAGCUGAACUAGCUUAUGUAGUAAAGACAUGAUUUCGCAUUAAUAAAUUUGAGGAAUUAGUAUUGUUGAAAGAUUAUAAUAACAUCAUUACAUCGUUACGAACAUACAAAUCAAUUUCACUCAGACAUCGAUAUUUUUUUUCUUUUCCCCCCUUAGCUGAACUGGCUUAUGAAAUCUCAAGUGAAAUAGGACAAUGGUCACUCCCAUUAAAACCUGCAAAUAAAGAAAAAAAAAGUACAAAGAAUUAGCAUUUAUCUAAUUUUUCUGUUUUAUGUAUCACUAUAGAGACAUUGUUGAUGAAAUCAGGCAGUUCAAGAGGAGGCUUUUCAGAUUUUAAGUUUUGUUCCCAACUUGCUACUUAGACAGUAAGAAGAUUUUCAUAACAUUCAUCACACAUUCAAACACUAGUUUCAGGUAUAUGUAUGGUAAUAUAAAGCUACCCAUCAGGAAAUAAACAGUACCUUCUAAAUCAAUUAUGUGUCCUUGCAUUUCAAAUACAAUAAUACAAUCUUUGAGUUCUUCUAAAAUAAUGAAAUAGCCUAUUGUGUCAUCCUUUUCUCCUGAUACAUGGGAAAAAAAAAAAGAAAUUUAGUAUAUCACACACUACAAGAAAAAUACUAUAUGACAACAGGCAAAGCUUGUUGUGGAAGGGGUUUCACGACGAGCACAUGCGUGUUGCGGUUCUUGCUGUAGCGAAAAGUAGGUAACUUUCAACUACGCGCAAUUCACGUUGUUGAAAAAGAUAUGAAUGUUGUUAAAUGUCUUAUGACAACUUGUAGUGACUGUGGUUAAAAAGGUCAUGUGCAUCCAAAUUUUUGACUACAAGCUUGUGAAUGUUGUCAUAAACUAUAUAGCAACAAGCAACUAAUUGUUGCCAUUAAUUUCAAUUUUUUUUUAACAAUAAACAACAUAUCUUGCAUGUUGCCAAUAAUAAUAAUAAUAAUAA
rnacentral:lncRNA from 1 species